UACCCCGACAGCAGCCCCGAGGGGCCCCCCCCGGCACCCCCGUACCUGGGGGGACCCCCCCGAGCGCCCCCCCCCAACCGCCGGCACAGCCCCGAGACCUUCGGGGGGCCCGAGGGGGGCGUGGGGGGCGCCGAGCCCGACGGGCAGAUGCAGCUGGUGACCAGCCUGUGAGAGCAGGGGCAGGGGGGCACCGGGACCCUCCAAGCGCCAGGGCCCGGGGGCACACGGGGGGCCCGAGGUCACGGCGGGACCCCCCCUUUGCCAGGGGGUCCGAGGUCAUGGCAGGACCCCCCUUUGCCAGGGGGUCCGAGGUCAUGGCGGGACCCCCCCUUUGCCAGGGGGUCCGGCCUGGCACAAGGACGUGGCCGGAGGGGGGGACAUGGGGGGCAGGGAUUGCACGGGGACCCCUCCUUGCUCGAGGCUGUGGGGGCACACGGGGGUCUGGCCCCGAGCGAAGAUACCCCCCAGCACGAGGACGAGGCCUGGUGCGAGGCUCCGGCCUCAAGCUGCGGCUCCCUGGCACCGGGGUUUGUCCUCAUGGCGGGGCAAGGGGGGAGUGGCCUCGCACGGGGGUCCGGUGCCACUCGAGGAGCCCCAGCAGCCUCACAUGAGGAGCGAGCCCUGAGCAGCGCCCGGAGGGGAUGGCCCAGCCUGGGCUGGCACGAGGCGCCAUGGUUGUGCAAGGCCGCUUGUGCGAGGCCGUGGCGUCGCCUGAGGGACCGGCCUGGCACGAGGAGCCGGCAGCGUCACCGUGGUCACGGCCUCAUGUGAGAGCCUUGCACAAGGACCUGGCCUUGCACAAAGAGCCGGCAGCACCAUCACAGUCACGGCCUCACACCACAACCCAACCUUGCACAAGGAGCUGGGGCUUGCAUGAGGAGCAGGCCUUGAACGAGGACCAGGCCUUGCACCAGGACCAGGCCUUGCACUAGGACCAGGCCUUGCACUAGGACCAGGCCUUUGAACAAGGACCAGGCCUCGUACAAGAAGCCGCAGUUGUGCGAGGCUUUGGCAUCGCAUGAGGGCCAGGCCUUGCACAACGACCAGGC